rnacentral:rRNA from 1 species
GACGAACGCUGGCGGCGUGCUUAACACAUGCAAGUCGAACGGAAAGGCCCUGCUUUUGUGGGGUGCUCGAGUGGCGAACGGGUGAGUAACACGUGAGUAACCUGCCCUUGACUUGGGGAUAACUUCAGGAAACUGGGGCUAAUACCGGAUAGGAGCUCCUGCUGCAUGGUGGGGGUUGGAAAGUUUCGGCGGUUGGGGAUGGACUCGCGGCUUAUCAGCUUGUUGGUGGGGUAGUGGCUUACCAAGGCUUUGACGGGUAGCCGGCCUGAGAGGGUGACCGGCCACAUUGGUCCUGAGAUACGGCCCAGAGUCCUACGGGGGGCAGCAGUGGGGAAUAUGGCCCAAUGGGCCGGAGCCUGAGGCAGCAGCGUCGCGUUCGGAAUCACGUCCUUCGGGUUGUAAACCGCUUUCGCCUGUGACGAAGCGUGAGUGACGGUAAUGGGUGAAGAAGCACCGGCUAACUACGUG